rnacentral:RNase_P_RNA from 1 species
CUUGCAGGCCAGGCAGCCGCGCGACCCUUGUGGUCGCGAGGAAAGUCCGGACACCGAAGAGCAGGGUGCUGGGUAACGCCCAGGCGGGGAAACCCGACGGAGAGUGCAACAGAAAGAACACCGCCCAAGCGACCGUCCGCGGUCGCCGGCAAGGGUGAAAAGGUGCGGUAAGAGCGCACCAGCGGCGCGGUGACGCGCCGGCUCGGCAAACCCCACCCGGUGCAACGCCAGACAGGGGCGAUGAGGCGGCUCGCCGAGCCCCGGGUAGGCGGCUCGAGCCCGGCGGCAACGCCGGGCCUAGAUGGAUGGCUGCCCACGACAGAAUCCGGCUUACCGGCCUGCUAACGGA